rnacentral:misc_RNA from 1 species
AGAUAACCCUGCAACCCUCUAGCUCGAAUAAAAAGGAGACAUACCCAAAAACAAACCAAGAGAUAGGAAUGGACUGGGUAGAGGCGGUGUACACUAGGGAUGUCAUUGAAAAAAAAAGUACGGCUAAAAAAACUGACCAGGAACAAGCUCACUCCCCGGCGCGUGUACACUAGGCGGAAACCUUCUGUCGGCGAGUGGGAUCAUGCACCUCACCCGAUGGCGGCGAGAAUCCAGGUAAGGAUCGGCGACGAGGUUCUCUUCCUUCCUGAACCCGGUGACAACUACCUCCCUCCCUCAACAGAUCCGCUUUCAAGGCUUACCCACACAUACACUAACUAUUUCUCACUGUUUUCUC